GAAGGAGAGCAAGGGAGGAAAGAAAGGGGGAGCAAGGAUCCUACUAAGGAGUAGAAUCAAAAAGUGAAGGGACAACGCGGCAUGAGGUCAUCAGCUAUCCACCGACACUUGAGAUUCAAGAUGUUGAUUCAGGUAAUCGUCUGGAGUCUGUGGCUGAGGAGCCAGCUCUCUAUGGAGGUGACCUCUAGGACGAGGAGCUAGCUACGCACGAGGACAAUUGUGUAUAUGACGACUGUGCAUUCGGAGCACAUUAAGGAUGAAAGUGUCAUCUUUUAUUUUUUUUAUUCUUUUGUUUACAUAUCAAAUGUAGCUAU